rnacentral:rRNA from 1 species
ACUCGAGUGGCGAACGGGUGAGUAACACGUGGGUGAUCUGCCCUGCACUUCGGGAUAAGCUUGGGAAACUGGGUCUAAUACCGGAUAGGAGCCAUCUUUAGUGUGGUGGUUGGAAAGUUUUUCGGUGUAGGAUAAGCUCGCGGCCUAUCAGCUUGUUGGUGGGGUAAUGGCCUACCAAGGCGGCGACGGGUAGCCGGCCUGAGAGGGUGUACGGCCACAUUGGGACUGAGAUACGGCCCAG